GACAUCAUUCUAUAGGAGGUAUCUGUUGCUCAAGAUGGCGGCUGGUCUGGUUUAAUCGAGGACGGGUCAGGCCGAGAGAGACCUGAAGAAUCUUCUGCAUUCUAGUCCGUGAAUGUUAAUGAGUCAUAUUGGAGGAUAGUAACAAAUCAUGUUAAAAGAAGAGAUGUUACGUACUAGCCUCCAAGGAUGAUGAUGUCAGCUUUUCAGCUCCAAUGAAGCAUGCAAGAAACACAAGAUUUGUGCUACAUCGCUUAACACAUCCCAAGAACAAGAGUUAAAUGAAGAAGCAAGUAAAAUGUCAGAUUGGAUGGAUUAACGCUCAUCAUUCAGGCAUCUAAAGGACAGUCCAAAUGACUUAAAGAAAUAUAUCACACAAAA